rnacentral:lncRNA from 1 species
GUCUCCCAAAAAUUACAAAUAAGUGAUUCAGACCAUUUGCGACCACAGCCUCAAAAUCAGGUGCAUAUAACACUGAUACAGUUGUUCUCAGUAAAGAGCAAGAGAGAAUUACAGUAAGAAACUGUGUGGUUGGGACCAGUGAAACCCACAAAUAUACAUUUCAGAGGAUAAACUAUUAAGUGCAUAGUGUUUGUCUUAGACAAGCCUCCUUUUGAUCACAACCAACAGAAACCUUAACAGUAAAUGUAGUAUAAGGAUAAAGCACUCUCACAGAUAUAAAGAAGGCCAGGCCUGAAGCCCUCAAGCCAAGACCUCCCAUGGCUGCCUCAACCCACACCCCACUCAGCAUGACUUCCACAAACUGGCUAUAGAUCGGCUUCCCUCAACUCAGGAGAAUAUGGGGCUGCCCAGCCAGGGACUCUGAGUUUAACUGUUCACCCUAGACAAGGAUGUCGGACAUGGUCCUCUGCUGACUGAUAGGUUCUAUAUAGGAAAGUAUCAUGGAAGCCAGUAGAAUCUAUCAAGAGUUUUCUGGGGAAAGAAGUGAUCAUCAAUGUCAGAUGUAUUGAGGAGUUUAGUAAAAUAAGGACCAAAAAGUUACCCAGCAAAUCAGGCAAUGUGGAGUUACCUGAAGACCCUUGUGGAAGAACAUUAAGCUGCAUGAUAGAGAUGGAGCCCACCUGAAAGGCCAAGGUGGGAGGAUCACUUGAGCCCAGGAGUCUGAGACCAGCCUGGGAAACAUGGUGAAACCCCAACUCUACAAAAAGUACAAAAAUUAGCUGGGCAUCGUGGUGUACACCUGUAUUCCCAGCUACUCAGGAGGCUGAGGUGGGAGGAUUGCCUGAGCCCAGGGAGGUCGGGGCUGCAGUGAGCCAUGCUCAUGCCACUGCACUCCAGCCUGGGUGAUAGAGUGAGACCUUGUCUCAAAAAAAAAAAAAAAGAAAAAAAAGAAAAGAGAAAAGAGAAUUCUCUUUCCAGAAACUUGGCUGAA